rnacentral:rRNA from 1 species
CCUACGGGUGGCAGCAGUGAGGAAUAUUGGACAAUGGGCGGAAGCCUGAAGCAGCAAAGUCGCGUGAGGGAAGACUGCCCUAUGGGUUGUAAACCUCGUUUGUGAGGGAGCAACGCCGGCUACGUGUAGCCGGACUGAGAGUACCUGAAGAAAAAGCAUCGGCUAACUACGUGCCAGCAGCCGCGGUAAUACGGAGGAUGCGAGCGUUAUCGGGAUUUAUGGGGUUUAAAGGGUGCGUAGGCGGAAUGCCAAGUCAGCGGUAAAAUCGCGGGGCUCAACCGCGCUCCGCCGUUGAAACUGGCGUUCUUGAGUGGGCGAGAAGUAUGCGGAAUGCGUGGUGUAGCGGUGAAAUGCAUAGAUAUCACGCAGAACUCCGAUUGCGAAGGCAGCAUACCGGCGCCCAACUGACGCUGAGGCACGAAAGCGUGGGUAUCGAACAGGAUUAGAUACCCGAGUAGUC